UUACAGCUAAGUGGGAAACGAUGUGGGAAGGCUCAGACAGCUAGGAUGUUGGCUUAGAAGCAGCCAUCAUUUAAAGAAAGCGUAAUAGCUCACUAGUCGAGUCGGCCUGCGCGGAAGAUGUAACGGGGCUAAGUUGUAAACCGAAGCUGCGGCAAUGGCUGCAUCACUUAAGCUAUUUGAUUGACGUUUUGCGUCCUUGAAAAGGAACAGCCGCAAAACGGCCAAGCCCACCCGAACAGUCGAGGGGGCAGAGAUGGUUUAAGGAUGCAGCUAUUGGGUAGGGGAGCGUUCUGUAAGCCGUUGAAGGUGAAUCGUAAGGUUUGCUGGAGGUAUCAGAAGUGCGAAUGCUGACAUGAGUAACGACAAGGGGGGUGAAAAACCUCCCCGCCGGAAGACCAAGGGUUCCUGUCCAACGUUAAUCGGGGCAGGGUGAGUCGACCCCUAAGGCGAGGCCGAAAGGCGUAAUCGAUGGGAAACGGGUUAAUAUUCCCGUACUUCUUACAAUUGCGAUGGGGGGACGGAGAAGGCUAGGUGGGCCAGGCGACGGUUGUCCUGGUUCAAGUGCGUAGGCUUAAGAGUUAGGUAAAUCCGGCUCUUUCUAAGGCUGAGACACGACGUCGAGCUACUACGGUAGUGAAGUCAUUGAUGCCAUGCUUCCAGGAAAAGCCUCUAAGCUUCAGAUUGU
rnacentral:rRNA from 1 species